rnacentral:rRNA from 1 species
CCUACGGGAGGCAGCAGUGGGGAAUAUUGGGCAAUGGAGGAAACUCUGACCCAGCAACGCCGCGUGAAGGAUGAAGGUUUUCGGAUUGUAAACUUCUGUCGCGAGGGAUGAAGAAUGACGGUACCUCGUAAGAAAGCCCCGGCAAACUACGUGCCAGCAGCCGCGGUAAUACGUAGGGGGCGAGCGUUGUCCGGAAUGACUGGGCGUAAAGGGAGUGUAGGCGGCAAGGUAAGCGAUAGGUGAAAGCCUUAGGCUUAACCUGAGGAUUGCAUAACGAACUAUCUAGCUAGAGUACAGGAGAGGAAAGCGGAAUUCCUAGUGUAGCGGUGAAAUGCGUAGAUAUUAGGAAGAACACCAGUGGCGAAGGCGGCUUUCUGGACUCAAACUGACGCUGAGGCUCGAAAGCGUGGGGAGCGAACAGGAUUAGAUACCCCGGUAGUC